rnacentral:rRNA from 1 species
UACGUAGGGGGCAAGCGUUGUCCGGAAUCAUUGGGCGUAAAGCGCGCGUAGGCGGCCCGAUAAGUCCGCUGUAAAAGUCCAGGGCUCAACCCUGGAAAGCCGGUGGAUACUGUCGGGCUAGAGUCCGGAAGAGGCGAGUGGAAUUCCUGGUGUGCGGUGGAAUGCGCAGAUAUCAGGAGGAAUACCGAUGGCGAAGGCAGAUCUCUGGGCCGUAACUGACGCUGAGGAGCGAAAGCAUGGGGAGCGAACAGG